rnacentral:sRNA from 1 species
GCUACAACCGCUCAUAACAGGUUCUAAGUUUUCGCUUUGCGAAACACCUGCCAUUGGCGAGUCUUAGUUAUU